rnacentral:rRNA from 1 species
GACGAACGCUGGCGGCGGGCUUAACACAUGCAAGUCGAACGGCAAGACCCUGCUUUUGUGGGGUUCUCGAGGGGCAGACGCGUGCGGAACACGUGAGUAACCUGCCCUUGACUUUGGGAUAACUUCAGGUAACUGGGGCUAAUACCAGAUAGGAGCUCCUGCUGCAUGGUGGGGGUUGGAAAUUUUCGGCGGGUGGGGAUGGACUCGCGGCUUACGAGCUUGCUGGUGGGGUAGUGGCUUACCAAGGCAUUGACGGGUAGGCGGCCUGAGAGCGGGAACGGCCACAUUGGGACUGAGAGACGGCCCAGACUCGUACGGGAGGCAGCAGUGGGGAAUAUUGCACAAUGGGCGGAAGCCUGAUGCAGCAACGCUGCGUGCGGGAUGACGGUCUUCGGGGUGUAAACCGCUGUCGCCUGUGACGCAGCGUGAGUGACGGUAAUGGGUAAAGAAGCACCGGCUAACUACGUG